UGCCAGCAGCCGCGGUAAUACGAAGGGUGCAAGCGUUGUUCGGAUUUACUGGGCGUAAAGAGCGCGUAGGCGGAUGAGAAAGUCAGGUGUGAAAUCUCAGGGCUCAACCCUGAAACUGCGCCUGAAGCUUCUUAUCUUGAAUCUCAGAGGGGGAAGGGGAAUUUCACAUGUAGGGGUAAAAUCCGUAGAGAUGUGAAGGAACGCUCGAGGCGAAAGCGCCUUCCUGGAUGAGUAUUGACGCUGAGGCGCGAAAGCGUGGGGAGCAAACAGGAUUAGAUA
rnacentral:rRNA from 1 species